CUCCCUCCUUCCCUCCCUCCCUUGCUUCCUCCCUCCUCCUCGGCUUCCUUGCUCUGUGCCUGAGGGGAGGAAGAGAAGGAGGGAGGAAGGGAGGGAGGGAGGGAGGAGGGGG
rnacentral:miRNA from 1 species